rnacentral:rRNA from 1 species
CUGACACUUACAGAUGAGCCCGCGGCGCAUUAGCUAGUUGGUGAGGUAACGGCUCACCAAGGCGACGAUGCGUAGCCGACCUGAGAGGGUGAUCGGCCACACUGGGACUGAGACACGGCCCAGACUCCUACGGGAGGCAGCAGUAGGGAAUCUUCGGCAAUGGGCGAAAGCCUGACCGAGNAACGCCGCGUGAGCGAUGAAGGCCUUCGGGUCGUAAANCUCUGUUGUUAGAGAAGAACAAGUACGAGAGUAACUGCUCGUACCUGACGGUACCUAACC